GACGAACGCUGGCGGCGUGCCUAAUACAUGCAAGUUGAGCGCUGAAGGUUGGUACUUGUACCAACUGGAUGAGCAGCGAACGGGUGAGUAACGCGUGGGGAAUCUGCCUUUGAGCGGGGGACAACAUUUGGAAACGAAUGCUAAUACCGCAUAAAAACUUUAAACACAAGUUUUAAGUUUGAAAGAUGCAAUUGCAUCACUCAAAGAUGAUCCCGCGUUGUAUUAGCUAGUUGGUGAGGUAAAGGCUCACCAAGGCGAUGAUACAUAGCCGACCUGAGAGGGUGAUCGGCCACAUUGGGACUGAGACACGGCCCAAACUCCUACGGGAGGCAGCAGUAGGGAAUCUUCGGCAAUGGACGAAAGUCUGACCGAGCAACGCCGCGUGAGUGAAGAAGGUUUUCGGAUCGUAAAAACUCUGUUGGUAGAGAAAGAAACGUUGGUGAAG
rnacentral:rRNA from 1 species